UAGGGAAUAUUAGAAAUGGACGAAAUUCUGAUCUAGCAACACCGCGUGUGCGAAGAAGGCCUUUGGGUCGUAAAGCACUUUUUGGAAGGAAUAGGAAGGAAUGUACUUCCAGAAUAAGUCUCGGCUAACUACGUGCCAGCAGCCGCGGUAACACGUAGGAGGCAAACGUUAUCCGGAUUUACUGGGCGUAAAGCGCGUGUAGGUGGUACUGUAAGUAGGGCGUGAAAGCUCCUGGCUCAACUGGGAGAGGCCGUUCUAAACUACAGAACUAGAGGAUGGUAGAGGGAGGAGGAAUUCCAGGUGUAGCGGUGGAAUGCGAAGAUAUCUGGAGGAACACCGGUGGCGAAGGCGGCCUCCUGGACCAUUCCUGACACUCAGACGCGAAAGCUAGGUUAGCAAACGG
rnacentral:rRNA from 1 species